UGCAGUGGGAGUGGAGGCCAGUGUGUGGUCAGUUGCAGUGGGAGAGGUGGCCAGUGUGUGGUCAGUUGCAGUGGGAGAGGUGGCCAGUGUGUGGUCAGUCAGUGUGCCCGGUCAGUUGCAGGGGUGUGGGAUAACGCUCUCCUCUCCCGCAGGACGGCCUGUCCACUCUGGGGAUCUCUCAUGUCCUGAGUGUGAGCCGCUGCUGUCCACAGCCCCACUUCCUGCCGCCGUCCUGCUUCCUGCGCGUUCCCAUCGACGACUCGCUCAGCGACCAGCUGCUGCCCUGGAUCCCCGCCGCACUGGCCUUCAUCGACCAGGCUCGCUGUCAGAGAGGAGCUGUGCUGCUGCACUGUGUGGCCGGAGUCUCUAGGUCUCCAGCUCUCGCUGUCGCCUACAUCAUGCACCACCUGGGACUCGGCUUGGACGAUGCCUACCGGUUCGUGAAGGAGAGGCGCCCCUCCAUCUCGCCCAACUUCAACUUCCUGGGUCAGCUGCAGCACUUCCAGAGCAUGCUGGCCCGCCCCGGCGCGCCGCACCCACCCGCACUCAGGAGGAUGUUGUUUUCAAGCGGGCGGUGCGCUGAGCUAAUUACCACCCUACUUCAGCCCUGUCGUUUCCUUCCAGUCCUGCGGCUCUUUCCCGGUGGGGCUUCAUGUUUCAGAACUGGAGGUGCUUUUCCAGCGCGGUAGAGGUGUGGGUGAUUGUCGUGAUUAUCGCCCAUUGAUGAGGCGCGCUGUGUCCGUGUUUCCAUUAGAGAGAGAUAGAGAGCCUGAUCCCAAUAAUGCUCAAUUUGUUUACAGUAUAUGUCAAUAUUUUAUGACAUGUCUCUGUUGUAAAUGUCUGUAGAUUUUAUUUUA